CGCCCUCGAGCUUCUAGGUGCCUUUCUCUCGCCACUCCAAGGUGAAAGAACUGGGCUUUUCUCUCCUUUGCUCCGACUAUUUCAGGGAAACUGCAGUCGUCGACGCCUGCGUUGGCAUCGCAAAAGCCCAGGAGGGAUAGCGCAGCCGAGAUUCUCCGACAGCUCCCCACCUCUCCCGGCUCUCUGAUCUACCACGUCAGUGGUCUCCUCCAGGCAGUGCAAAGGCAGUAUCUCUCUGAAUCCCGGGACGUCUCAGCCAAAGCAGGGAAGACACCCCAAGUACGCUGGAAGGCUGGGUAAGGCGCGAAGGGCAGCCCCAUUCCAGUCUUCAAAGAGAGCUAGCUGUUCACCGCUCCUCUCCUCCAGAUUUCACCGUGCCUGAAGAACUACCAUGCUUUUCAUGUAAUAUUUUUAAAAACAUUAAAUACUUUGGAUUAAGAGA
rnacentral:lncRNA from 1 species